AUUGAACGCUGGCGGCAGGCUUAACACAUGCAAGUCGAGCGAGAGGCGGACGGGUGAGUAAUGUCUUGGAAACUGCAUGAUUGAGGGGGAUAAAAACUGGAAAGGGUAGCUAAUCCCGCAUACGAUCAGCUGGGCCCAGAUGGGAUGAGCUAGUAGGUGGGGUAAUGGACCAUCGGGGCGACUAUCCCUAGCUGGUCUGAGAGGAAGACCAUCCAGACUGCAACUGAGACACGGUCGAGACUCCUGCGGUAGGAAGCAGUGGGUAAUAUUGCACAAUGGGCGAGAGCCUGAUGCAGCAAUGCGGCGUGUGUGAAGAAGGCCUUCGGGUUGUAAAGCGCUGUCAGCGAGGAGGCGUUACUCGCAGAAGAAGCACCGGCUAACUCCGUGCCAGCAGACGCGGUAAUUC
rnacentral:rRNA from 1 species